AGAGUUUGAUCAUGGCUCAGAUUGAACGCUGGCGGCAGGCCUAACACAUGCAAGUCGAACGGUAACAGGAAUCAGCUUGCUGCUUUGCUGACGAGUGGCGGACGGGUGAGUAAUGUCUGGGAAACUGCCCGAUGGAGGGGGAUAACUACUGGAAACGGUAGCUAAUACCGCAUAACGUCGCAAGACCAAAGAGGGGGACCUUCGGGCCUCUUGCCAUCGGAUGUGCCCAGAUGGGAUUAGCUAGUAGGUGGGGUAAAGGCUCACCUAGGCGACGAUCCCUAGCUGGUCUGAGAGGAUGACCAGCCACACUGGAACUGAGACACGGUCCAGACUCCUACGGGAGGCAGCAGUGGGGAAUAUUGCACAAUGGGCGCAAGCCUGAUGCAGCCAUGCCGCGUGUAUGAAGAAGGCCUUCGGGUUGUAAAGUACUUUCAGCGGGGAGGAAGGGAGUAAAGUUAAUACCUUUGCUCAUUGACGUUACCCGCAGAAGAAGCACCGGCUAACUCCGUGCCAGCAGCCGCGGUAAUACGGAGGGUGCAAGCGUUAAUCGGAAUUACUGGGCGUAAAGCGCACGCAGGCGGUUUGUUAAGUCAGAUGUGAAAUCCCCGGGCUCAACCUGGGAACUGCAUCUGAUACUGGCAAGCUUGAGUCUCGUAGAGGGGGGUAGAAUUCCAGGUGUAGCGGUGAAAUGCGUAGAGAUCUGGAGGAAUACCGGUGGCGAAGGCGGCCCCCUGGACGAAGACUGACGCUCAGGUGCGAAAGCGUGGGGAGCAAACAGGAUUAGAUACCCUGGUAGUCCACGCCGUAAACGAUGUCGACUUGGAGGUUGUGCCCUUGAGGCGUGGCUUCCGGAGCUAACGCGUUAAGUCGACCGCCUGGGGAGUACGGCCGCAAGGUUAAAACUCAAAUGAAUUGACGGGGGCCCGCACAAGCGGUGGAGCAUGUGGUUUAAUUCGAUGCAACGCGAAGAACCUUACCUGGUCUUGACAUCCACGGAAGUUUUCAGAGAUGAGAAUGUGCCUUCGGGAACCGUGAGACAGGUGCUGCAUGGCUGUCGUCAGCUCGUGUUGUGAAAUGUUGGGUUAAGUCCCGCAACGAGCGCAACCCUUAUCCUUUGUUGCCAGCGGUCCGGCCGGGAACUCAAAGGAGACUGCCAGUGAUAAACUGGAGGAAGGUGGGGAUGACGUCAAGUCAUCAUGGCCCUUACGACCAGGGCUACACACGUGCUACAAUGGCGCAUACAAAGAGAAGCGACCUCGCGAGAGCAAGCGGACCUCAUAAAGUGCGUCGUAGUCCGGAUUGGAGUCUGCAACUCGACUCCAUGAAGUCGGAAUCGCUAGUAAUCGUGGAUCAGAAUGCCACGGUGAAUACGUUCCCGGGCCUUGUACACACCGCCCGUCACACCAUGGGAGUGGGUUGCAAAAGAAGUAGGUAGCUUAACCUUCGGGAGGGCGCUUACCACUUUGUGAUUCAUGACUGGGGUGAAGUCGUAACAAGGUAACCGUAGGGGAACCUGCGGUUGGAUCACCU
rnacentral:rRNA from 1 species